rnacentral:piRNA from 1 species
GGCACUAUCAUUAGACUACUUCCUGUUG